UCCAGGGAUGGGGCACCCACAGCCUCCUUGGGCAACCUAUUCCAGUGCAUCAUCACCCACUGUGUGAAAAACUUCCUCCUAAUAUCCAACCUAAACCUCCCGCCUCAGUUUAAAUUCUUUAAUUACAUCUCGAGUAGCUUAAAAUGCCAGCACAAGUCAAUAAUAACAGAACAAGCAUAAACCCCAACACAUCUACGUGAAGAUAGAAGUGCAAAUGAAGAUGACAGCAGCAUCCAAUACUGGCAUCAUAUGGAAGUGGCACUACUUUAAACCACAAACCCAUGCAUUUGUGCUCCUUCCUGCAAGUUCCAUAUCACCAUUCCCCACAGCAGUGCCCAGGAUGUGCUCUCAAGUGAUCACUUCUUCCUUUGCCAUCCUUCGCAACUAACGAAAUCACUGCUGUAAGACUUCUCCUCUACAGGCAGGAAGGGAAACCCUGCGUUGGGCUCCCAGUUCCCUCCCUAUUAAAAUAAAGAGGAAAACGACAUUCCAGGGAAUAAAUACAGUUAAAAAAAAAUGAAACAACAAAGGCCCUCCACAUGUGGCUGUUCAUCUCCUUGCAGUCUGUACUGAAGAGGGAGGAAGGAAGGGAGGAAGGAAGGGAGGAAGGAAGGGAGGAAGGAAGGGAGGAAGGAAGGGAGGAAGGAAGGGAGGAAGGAAGGGAGGAAGGAAGGGAGGAAGGAAGGGAGGAAGGAAGGGAGGAAGGAAGGAACUCUGCCAUGCUGCAUCAGUGGGGUUGGAGAAGGGGAAAAGCCCCAUGGGGUGCCAUGCUGGAGAAGGUCCUUUGCAUCCUGCACUGACGUGGGAAAAGGCUGCGUCUGACAGCAUGGAAGUCGGAAGAAGGAACCGGGCAGCUGGGAAACGGAACCCGAAAUCACUGCGUGCAGCCAGGAUUGGACCCCAACCUCCUGCAAAGGGCUCAGAGCGAGGGGGACCUGCGGGGCCCCGCACCACCGAUCCCAAAGCCUCAUAAAAAAGAAUAAAUACAAGGAAAAAAACUCAAAACAUCCUAAAAAACGACCCUUCGAAAAGAAAAAAAAAAAAAAAAAACAGAACAACCCAAUAAAC
ensembl:lncRNA